rnacentral:tRNA from 1 species
UCCCUUGUGGCUCAGCUGGUAAAGAAUCUGCCUUCAAUGCAGGAGACCUAGGUUCAAUCCCUGGGUUGGGAA